GGAGGAGAGUUAACUAAGGUUAGGAAACAGUGCAUAGCAGAGCGCAGUCCAGUGCUUAGUCUAGUGGUUUAAUGCCAGGGCACACACAGAAAAGACUGAAGUCAUGUGAACCAACGUGACAACUGAAAGAAAAAUAUACAUAUAUAGAGCACAGAGAUCUCGAUGCUGCCUGGCCAGGAUCUCAGAUCUCGGCCUAGCAAGAGAAAACACAGCCUGGUGAGCCAAUGACAUCCCAUGCCAGGAGUUGAAACUGAGAGCUAACAGAUGGCCCUACACGCAUACACAGAGCAACCAGAUCACAGUGUGUGGGUGACCUUUCUGUUUUUCCUUCCGAAGUGAUUACGUGAGGUGCGUAUGCGUGAUCUGAAGCCUGAAUUGACAUGGGCCCCAUAGUGGGAAGAUUGAUCCCAAUCCUUCGCUCGCCUAGCAAUCUCACUCAGAGAAGCCUCACGAUGGAGAAAAGGCAAAUGUCCCACUGCUGAUAUCAGAGGUGUUCUCCUGAGAUUGAGAUCCGAAUACAUUCUUGAAGACUGAUUACAGGAGAACCAAUAACACAAUAUCCAAUACUUGACUUGGGAGUGUCUGACACAGAUACAAGAUGCUCAAAAUGGUACUCAUUUCCUUAGAGCUUCAACACAAAUCACUUGUAAAAGAAAAUUAUUUGCAAUUAAAUCCAGCCCUGUGUUAUAACCCUCCCUUCAUAUUCAGUCUUCACUUGUAUUGCUUUCUUUCUGUUAUCCCUGCCCCCGUAUCAUAAGGCUCUCACAGGAUAAAGUUGAGAAAGACCAUUCAAUCCAUCUUAGCUCAUCCACCUCCAGUGAAAAGAUCCUACAGUUCCCUUCAUUCUCCCCAAUCCCUUCACAGCAUUAAAUUGAUGCUAAAAUGAUUGCAGGACUUUCACUAAUGCUAAGCCAAAACAUUGCAGAUGCUGGAAAUCUGCAAUAUGUAUAGAAAAUGGAGGAAUCCCGCUGCAGGUCAAGCAGCAUCUGUGGGGCAUGAAACAGAGUUAACGUGUCAGGUCAAUGCCCUCAACCACGGUUUUGCCUUCACUGAUUUAUCUGGGAGCUCAUUCCAGGUGUGGAUUACUCUUUGUAACUAAAACCUCUUGACAUCAAUCCUAAAUCUGUUUUGACUUGUUUCACCAUUAUAUGCCCUUGGCUUACACUCAUGAUAUAGUUUAAAUUAAUUUUCAGCCUGCUUGCUAUCUUAUCUCUCUAUGCUGGGCACCCUGUUUAGAAAGUAAUAAAAACCUACAGCUUA